rnacentral:rRNA from 1 species
GACGAACGCUGGCGGCGUGCUUAACACAUGCAAGUCGAACGGAAAGGCCCUUCGGGGUAUUCGAGUGGCGAACGGGUGAGUAACACGUGGGUGAUCUGCCCUGCACUUUGGGAUAAGCCUGGGAAACUGGGUCUAAUACCGAAUAGGACCACGCGCUUCAUGGUGUGUGGUGGAAAGCUUUUGCGGUGUGGGAUGGGCCCGCGGCCUAUCAGCUUGUUGGUGGGGUAAUGGCCUACCAAGGCGACGACGGGUAGCCGGCCUGAGAGGGUGACCGGCCACACUGGGACUGAGAUACGGCCCAGACUCCUACGGGAGGCAGCAGUGGGGAAUAUUGCACAAUGGGCGCAAGCCUGAUGCAGCGACGCCGCGUGAGGGAUGACGGCCUUCGGGUUGUAAACCUCUUUCAAUAGGGACGAAGCGCAAGUGACGGUACCUAUAGAAGAAGCACCGGCCAACUACGUG